rnacentral:rRNA from 1 species
CCCUUAGAUGUUCGGGGCCGCACGCGCGCUACACUGAAGGAAUCAGCACGUCUUUCUCCUUGUCCGAAAGGACUGGGUAACCCGCUGAACCUCCUUCGUGCUAGGGAUUGGGGCUUGUAAUUCUCCCCCAUGAACGAGGAAUUCCCAGUAAGCGCGAGUCAUAAGCUCGCGUUGAUUACGUCCCUGCCCUUUGUACACACCGCCCGUCGCUACUACCGAUUGGAUGGUUUAGUGAGAUCCUCGGAUUGGUCCCGGCGCGGCCUCUGGUCGUGCCGGAGUGCCGAAAAGAAUGUCGAACUUGAUCAUCUAGAGGAAGUAAAAGUCGUAACA